rnacentral:misc_RNA from 1 species
GUAAAAGUAAAGAAGCAGAAAUAAAAAGGAUAAACAAGGAACUGGCAAAUAUCAGAUCAAAAUUUAAAGGUGAAGCCCACCAUCCAGGACGUGCUGCGCAGCGACAGCCAGCUCAGGAACGCAGACGUGGAGCUGCAGCAGCGUGCUGUGGAGUACCUGCGGCUCAGCACCGUGGCCAGCACCGACAUUCUGGCGACCGUGCUGGAGGAGAUGCCCCCAUUCCCGGAGCGGGAGUCCUCCAUCUUGGCAAAGCUCAAGAAGAAGAAGGGCCCCAGCACGGUGACAGACCUGGAGGACACCAAGCGGGACAGGAGUGUGGACGUGAACGGGGGUCCUGAGCCUGCCCCAGCCAGUACCAGCGCCGUGUCUACGCCUUCUCCGUCGGCAGACCUGCUGGGUCUCGGGGCUGCCCCCCCUG